rnacentral:piRNA from 1 species
UAAGAUACCCUAGGACGCAGCUCAUC